AUUGAACGCUGGCGGCAUGCCUUACACAUGCAAGUCGAACGGCAGCACGGGAGCAAUCCUGGUGGCGAGUGGCGAACGGGUGAGUAAUAUAUCGGAACGUGCCCAGUCGUGGGGAUAACGUAGCGAAAGCUACGCUAAUACCGCAUACGAUCUAUGGAUGAAAGCGGGGGAUCGCAAGACCUCGCGCGAUUGGAGCGGCCGAUAUCAGAUUAGGUAGUUGGUGAGGUAAAGGCUCACCAAGCCGACGAUCUGUAGCUGGUCUGAGAGGACGACCAGCCACACUGGGACUGAGACACGGCCCAGACUCCUACGGGAGCAGCAGUGGGAAUUUGGACAAUGGGCGCAAGCCUGAUCCAGCAAUGCCGCGUGCAGGAUG
rnacentral:rRNA from 1 species